rnacentral:tRNA from 2 species
GCCGAGGUGGCGGAAUUGGUAGACGCGCCUGGUUUAGGUCCAGGUGGGGCAACCCGUGGAGGUUCGAGUCCUCUCCUCGGCACCA